UGUGCUAUGCAUCAUAAAUUCAAAUUCUCUCAUCAAGGUGGAAUAUGGUUCAUGUACCAUGCAGAAGGCUAAUAUGAGGAACCCGCACAAACAGUUGUCUUCACCUUAUGAGGAGAGAAUUUCUGCAUUUCAUUUUCUAUUGCCUGUCGCAAAAUGCCACUACACGGUCAUCAAGAUGCACCAUCGAUUUUGGAUGCAUGUAACUUGCUCAAGAUAUACUGAUCUUCAAUAAAAUAUGUGCUUUGUGCUUUCCCUUUCCAUGGCAACCAUCUGACUUCUCGCUUCUGUAUUUAUUUUUGUGCCAAUUUUAGUACCUAACGCAGAGCCCUCGGUUCAAUAUGAAUUGUUUGAUUAGGUGUGAAAAUGUACUGCUACAGUUCCGCUACGGCCUACUGUAUGGUCACAUGAAUAAAAACAUCAAAGACAUUGGUAAA